GAGGGACACUGCCCCACAGCCGACCCCAUAGAGACCCAUAGGGACCCCCAUAGGGAACCCCCCUCCCUGAUGCGCUCCAUGGCCAGCGGGCAGUCCAGCUAUAGGGGAACACACAGCGCCCCAUAAAAAACCCCAUAGGAAACCCCAUAGAGACCCAGAGGGACACUGCCCCAUAGCCGACCCCAUAGAGAUCCCAUACGGAACCCCAUAGCCGACCCCAUAGAGACCCAUAAUGAACCUCAUAGCCGACCCCAUAGAGACCCAUAGGGAACGCCAUAGCCGACCCCAUAGAGACCCAUAAGGAAACCCCAUAGUGCCCCAUAGGGACACUGCUCCAUGGGAACCCCAUAGUGCCCCAUAGCCGACCCCAUAGAGACCCAUAGAGACCCAGAGGGACACUGCCCCAUAGCCAACCCCAUAGCUGACCCCAUAGAGACCCAGAGGGAACCCCAUGGUGACCCAUAGGGACCCAUAGGGACACUGCCCCAUAGCUGACCCCAUAGCCGACCCCAUAGAGAUCAUAGGGAACCCCAUAGAGACCCAUAGGUCUCCCUGAUGCUCCAUGGCCAGCAGGCAGUCCAGCUAUAGGGGAACACACAGCACCCCAUAGAAAACCCCAUAGAAAACCCCACAGAGACCCACAGACACUGCCACAUAGCCAACCCCAUAGCCGACCCCAUAGAGACCCAUAGGGAAACUGUAGCCGACCCCAUAGAGACCCCAUAGGGAACCCGUAGUUGACCCCAUAGAGAGAGACCCAUAGGGAACCCCAUAGCCGACCCCGUAGAGACCCCUAAGGAAAGCCCAUAGUGCCCCAUAGGGACACUGCUCCAUGGGAACCCCAUAGUGCCCCAUAGCAGCACCACCCCACAGCCGACCCCAUAGCUGACCCCAUAGAGACCCAUAGGGAACCCCAUAGUGACCCAUAGGGACCCAUAGGGACACUGCCCCAUAGCCGACCCCAUAGAGACCCAUGGGGAACACCAUAGUGCCCCAUAGUGACCCAUAGGGAUACUGCCCCAUAGCCGACCCCAUAGUGCCCCAUAGGGAACCCCAUAGCCGACCCCAUAGAGACCCAUAGGAAACCCCAUAGAACCCCACAGGGAACCCAAUAUUGCCGCAUAGGGAACCCCAUAGUGCCCCAUAGAGACCCAUAGGGAACCCCAUAGUGCCCCACAGGGACACAGCCCCAUAGCCGACCCCAUAGCGC
rnacentral:lncRNA from 1 species